rnacentral:pre_miRNA from 1 species
CUUAUACUCCCUCUGUCCGAAAAUACUUGUCCUCGAAAUGGAUAAAAUGGAUGUAUCUAUAACUAAAAUAAGUCUAGAUACAACCAUUUCGAGGACAAGUAUUUCCGGACGGAGGGAGUAGCAU